GUUUGAUCCUGGCUCAGAGCGAACGUUAGCGGCGCGCCUAACACAUGCAAGUCGCACGAGGAAAGGGGCGAGCCCCCGGUACAGUGGCGCACGGGUGAGUAACACGUGGAUUACCUUCCCUGGAGUGGUGGAUAACCUGCCGAAAGGUGGGCUAAUACAGCAUGAGACCACGCACUUUCGAGUGUGAGGUCAAAGCGGGCUUCUGUUUACAUGCUCGCGCUCUAGGAUGGGUCCGCGGCCCAUCAGCUAGUUGGUAGGGUAACGGCCUACCAAGGCAACGACGGGUAGCUGGUCUGAGAGGAUGACCAGCCACACUGGAACUGAGACACGGUCCAGACUCCUACGGGAGGCAGCAGUGGGGAAUCUUGCGCAAUGGGCAAAGCCUGACGCAGCGACGCCGCGUUGGG
rnacentral:rRNA from 1 species